rnacentral:rRNA from 1 species
CGGACGGGUGAGUAACGCGUGGGUAACCUGCCUUAUACAGGGGGAUAACAGUCAGAAAUGGCUGCUAAUACCGCAUAAGCGCACAGGGCCGCAUGGCCCGGUGUGAAAAACUGAGGUGGUAUAAGAUGGACCCGCGUUGGAUUAGCCAGUUGGCAGGGUAACGGCCUACCAAAGCGACGAUCCAUAGCCGGCCUGAGAGGGUGAACGGCCACAUUGGGACUGAGACACGGCCCAG